rnacentral:rRNA from 1 species
GAUGAACGCUGGCGGCGUGCCUAAUAUAUGCAAGUCGAGCGAACAGACGAGGAGCUUGCUCCUCUGACGUUAGCGGCGGACGGGUGAGUAACACGUGGAUAACCUACCUAUAAGACUGGGAUAACUUCGGGAAACCGGAGCUAAUACCGGAUAAUAUAUUGAACCGCAUUGUUCAAUAGUGAAAGACGGUUUUGCUGUCACUUAUAGAUGGAUCCGCGCCGCAUUAGCUAGUUGGUAAGGUAACGGCUUACCAAGGCAACGAUGCGUAGCCGACCUGAGAGGGUGAUCGGCCACACUGGAACUGAGCCACGGUCCAGACUCCUACGGGAGGCAGCAGUAGGGAAUGUUCCGCAAUGGGCGAAAGCCUGACGGAGCAACGCCGCGUGAGUGAUGAAGGUCUUCGGAUCGUAAAACUCUGUUAUUAGGGAAGAACAUAUGUGUAAGUAACUAUGCACGUCUUGACGGUACCUAAUCAGAAAGCCACGGCUAACUACGUG